rnacentral:lncRNA from 13 species
CCCUGUGUUUAUUUCAGAUACUACGAUCCAUCACAAAACUCGAGAGAGAGAUUAAGAUCCGAUUCAAAGUGUGAAUGGCAGAGAAGAAACUUUGAGAUGUCAAAAAUAAUCCUUAUGGCUUAUUUAGAGGAAAAGAAGAUCACUGCAGAAUAUAGCACAGUUGCAUUAUGGCUGACUGGAUGGAAGUAAAACGCUCUGCAGAGAGUGGGGGUCUACACCACUCUGCAGCUUGGCUUUGAGGAUAUGCCCAAUUUUCAAUGGCCAAUGUCAAUGGCCCCUUUAUCAUGUUUUACCCAAAG